CGGGCCCGCACAAGCAGCGGAGCGUGUGGUUUAAUUCGUUGCUACACGAAGAACCUUACCUGGGUUUGACAUAAUGGUGGUAGGGAUCCGAAAGGUGACCGACCUUCGGGGAGCCAUUACAGGUGUUGCAUGGCUGUCGUCAGCUCGUGUCGUGAGAUGUUCGGUUAAGUCCGCUAACGAGCGCAACCCUCGCUGUGUGUUAUAUGUGUCACACAGGACUGCUGGUAUUAAGCCGGAGGAAGGUGGGACGACGUCAAGUCAGCAUGACCUUUAUAUCCAGGGCUACACACGUGUUACAAUGGCCGGUACAGAGGGCAGCUACCUGUUGACAGGAUGCGAAUCUCGAAAGCCGGUCUCAGUUCGGAUCGGAGUCUGCAACCCGACUCCGUGAAGCUGGAUUCGCUAGUAAUCGCGCAUCAGCCAUGGCCGCGGUCGAAUACGUUCCCGGGCCUU
rnacentral:rRNA from 1 species